rnacentral:pre_miRNA from 1 species
CGGGGGAGGCGGGAUCCUGGGCUGUGUCCCGGCGCCCUGUGCUCCGGGGCCUGCGCUGUUGGAUUCGCGCUCCCGCCCCGCAGCCCCUC